CCACCCUCCUUCAUCUUAUCUUGCCACUCUUUAGCUUCAGAGGUGAAGCUAAGCAGAAAGAAAAAGAAGGGUCUGCUGGUAUGGCGUGGAUCAUUUUGAUGGAUAUAUAGUCCACAUGGCAGGAUCUGCAGAAUAGGUGGCAUAGGGUCAGGUAAUGUUGAGACCUCAGGAGGCAGGAGGCCGGAGCUGAGUUAGAUUGCUGUUAUAUUAUGCUGCCAUGAUUGGAUGCUGGAUUUGCAUGCUGCUUAUGCUUAUAGCUUCAGUUUAUGUUUAUGGAGUUUUAUGUUGAGACUUGUUGUUUACUAUGUUAUUUGGUGAGCAUGGGGAUUGUCCAUGACACAUAGUAUUAUUAUGUCUUGGUUAUGUCUUGAGUCUUUUGGAGUUGUAUUAGUGUAUCAGGAUAUUGUCCGGAUUACUUGAUGUAAUGCCGUGAUUUAGAUACACACUUUAUUUAUAUA